rnacentral:rRNA from 1 species
CAGUAGCCGCGGGAAAACAGAGGGUGCGAGCGUUAAUCGGAUUUACUGGGCGUAAAGCGUGUGUAGGUUGUUGUUCAAGUCAGUUGUGAAAUCCCUGGGCUCAACCUGGGAACUGCUUCUGAGACUGAACGACUAGAGUACGGUAGAGGGUGGUGGAAUUUCCGGUGUAGCGGUGAAAUGCGUAGAUAUCGGAAGGAACAUCAAUGGCGAAGGCAGCCACCUGGGCCUGUACUGACACUGAGACACGAAAGCGUGGGGAUCAAACAGGAUUAGAUACCCCAGUAGUCCCUGUCUCUUAUAC